rnacentral:lncRNA from 1 species
UCGGCCUCCGUUUGGUUCGGGGUUAAGAAAAAAAUAGUUAUUCCACGGAUAGAGUUAAGUUCAGGGUUAAGUGGGGUUAAAGUUUUUUUGUGUAUUGUUGGGGGUUGGAGUUAGUCUAGAAUAAUGAAAAAUAGUGUUUGGUUGGAGUAGGUGGGAUAAGAAGAUAAUGAUUGAUAAAGAAGGAUAGUGAUUGGUUGGAGUAGGUAUGAUAAGAAAGAUAGUGUGUUAUUAUGAAUAGAAAAUAGUGUUUGGUUGGAGUUUGUUAGGUUGGAUGUGCUAGUGGUAUGCCACUAGUACAGCCCGUGAUGAUAUACUAUGCCGUACUGCUUCCAUGUCAGCAUGGGUCAUAUCAAUGAUUCAACAAUACUUAUUCUUAAAGAUCAUUUGAUUAGAUGUAGUUAUAAAUAUAGUAUUAUUGGAUAUGCAUAUAGUUGAAAAUAUAGUAAUUACAGUUGCAUGUAUCUUAUUAGGUUUGAUGUAAUGAAAAGCACAACUAUAAAUAAUCUUUUUGUUUGUAUACGAUUGGAAAUUCUACUUUCAAAUUUUAUUAUUGACCUCAAUUUCAAACUUAAGCAUCUAAAAUUUUAAUAGAUGCCCCUUCAAAAUCUAAAAUAUCACUUAUACCCUAAUAAAUAUACUAAUUUUAUCACAAAUGCUGUCACGCCCCGGGGUCCCUUUUUAGUUUAAAGCAUAGCGGAAAAGCGUCUGAAUUUUUUUUUUUUUUUUUUUGAAAACCUGACCCAAGGGUAUGCCAUAUCCGCCACAAAUACAGGAGAUCCACUGUUCACACGGACAGAGUCUCCCCUGUAUUUGUACGGCGUCGCACAAGUAUAAGAGUUCAAACAUGAUACAACCACAACCAGAUGAACAUACAAAUAACCACAGUUAUAUAUUCAUACACCAUUCACCACAGGUUCAUAUUUUUACAUUCAAUAUUUAAACAUAAAUCCACAUCUAUCAGUUAAAAUAUUUCCAACCACAGAAACAAGUUUUGAAAUACUAAGAUACAAAAUCACAGAAAACCCUUUGAAAACUGUUCCCUACACGGGAACUUUUAUCUUUUUAAAACGCUACCACGA